UUCCUGCAAUUAAGAACACAAUUAUUUGUUGAGAUUUAAUAGUUACUUAACUGUGAAAAGCUUAUAAAUACAUGCUUAAUAUUUUAAACACAUCUUGAGUUUUUUAUGUUGUACUUUGAAAAAUACUGAAAUUAUUGCUUUUGAUUUUAAACAAAUAAAUGGUCAGUAGGAGAGAAACAGAUGUUUCUGUAGGAUAAUUCAACUUAGUUUUUGAGGUAGAACUAAAUGUUUAUUAACAUGUUUAAGACCACAGUAAUGUGAAAUUAGAUUCAGAUAUAUUUUGGAUAGAAAAAAUACAAUUUGCAUAAUGUCAAACUUCUCACAUUUUCUGACAAGUGUCUGGCUGUCUGCCUCUUAUAGUUCAAGUACAGUAUAUGAGGUUAUACUGCACAAUACAGAACUAGGAAAGGGAGUGUACUAACAUAACAAAAGCUUCUUCCACUGUACAGUACAGUGGCAUACUUAAAUUUCCACUUUCCAGACCAUCGAAUAAAGCAACACAACUUUGUACAGUGAUGAGGUAACCAACAAGCUGAGGAGCCAAGAAUCCUGGGAUUGUAGCAGCAGUGUUGGUGAUGCCCAUAAGUGUACCAGCAAAGUUAGGGGCAAUAUCUAG